rnacentral:lncRNA from 10 species
GUGUUUUACUUUCACAGCAUUAGCCAACUGUUUUACUUCAUGAUAUUUAAUACACACAUCCACACCCAUACAUGCUUACAUACAGCUCCCAGUUCCCAACCUCCCAACUCCUGUAUUUGGGAUCCCAUUUUCUAGAUAAGAGAUUUGUGGCUUUAAGAGGUUCAGUAAUAUUUUCAAAGUCACACAGAAGGAGGGAAAGCAGGGAUGUAAAACCAAAUUUCCCUAAUUUUAAAGCCCUUGUUCUUUCAACCAUGCCACACCACCUGCUACACAAAGCCCCUGGCAGACCCAUAUGUUACCUUCCAAAUCCCUUCUGCUGAUGUUAGCAACCACUAAGGGUCAAAGGUUGUAUUUUCAAAAUGUGACUCAUGAGCCAUUAGUAAGUUCUGAAAUCAAUUGCUGGGCCUUGACCAGCAUUUUUAAAAAACAAAAUAGCGCAGGGUAGAUUGAGUAGAAUAGAUCAGAAAGAGUAAGAAUUGUUUCAUGAACCUUGGUUUCAGGUAUGCAUGUGUGGAGUGUUCUAGGUCUUAAUGUAAAAUGUAUUUCUUAUUAUGGGUUUAUAUUUAAAAAGUUUGAAAGUCAUUGGGUUCAGUGGAUGCUCUCACAUAGACCUAGCUCAUGAAUUGAGAAUUACUGAACACUCAGCUC